GCCGGAGUGGCGGAAUUGGCAGACGCCCGGGACUUAAAAUCCCGUGAGCUUUCAAGCUCGUACCGGUUCGAUUCCGGUCUCCGGCACCA
rnacentral:tRNA from 1 species